UCCCUGGUAGCUCAGUGGUAAAGAAUCUGCCUGCAAUGCAGGAGACCUGGGUUCAAUCCCUGAGUUGGGAA
rnacentral:tRNA from 1 species